ACUGCCAUUAUAGUCCUUGUUUAUUUAGGAGGAAACUGGUGUUCAGAGAAUUAUAAUUUGAUGAUAAAGAUUUGAUCAUUAUUAAUUGGCUAAGGAGGUGCCAUAAUUAGAGUCUAGGAGUCUUCUAAUCCAGUUUCUCUCAGAAUAUCUGCACUGAAAGACCAGCUCCCCACCCACGCCCAAUAUGCUGCUAACCAUUAUUUUUUAGUAAUAUAAUUGAAUUACUAGAAAAAUAAAAAAAUAAGACGAAGAGUUCCUAAAUUGUUAAUCUCAAUGUACUUAUUGUUUUGGUUGGAUAACAAAUAGCACAUGGAACAGCUCCAGUCUCUGGAUCACACUUUCAGUGUUGCUUGUGUCAAUCAUGACAUAUCCCUUCUAAAAGAAUCAUCCUCAUCCAGAACAUCUGCCAUCUAAAUUGCUAUGUUUACUCACACAGGAUCUAACCCUAACGCUAACCCAACCCAAACACUAACUCUUUAAAUUUACAGCUGAGUGGAGUGGGGCCAAAAAAUAGAUUGGCCAGCAAUUUUUGAACUGUGUGGCCAGGCUGCAAAAGAUGAGCUGGGCUCAUCAGUAUUUUUGUCUCUAGACUUAGAUAUAAUAUGCGAAGAAAAAAAUUUUCUAUGAAAUUCCAAGGUUUGGGACAUGGUUAAAAUGUGAACGAGCAGAAACUUUGAGUAAUCCGUGAAAGCUGGAUUGGGGCAGGGCAGAUAGAGGAAUAUGUGCAAUGCAGCUGAGUCAUAUUAAUAGUAGAUGACUAAAGAUUAAAGAACUGCUGGGCCAGUCACAGUGGCUCAUGCCUGUAAUCCCAGCACUUUGGGAGGCCGAGGCGGAUGGAUCAUGAGGUCAGGAGUUCGAGACCAGCCUGGCCUACAUGGUGAAACCCCAUCUCUACUAAAAAUACAAAAGUUAACUGGGCAUGUAGGCGCAUGCCUGUAAUCCCAGCUACUUGGGAGGCUGAGGCAGGAGAAUCGCUUGAACCCAGGAGGCGGAGGUUACAGUGAGCCAAGAUCACGCCAUUGCACUCCAGCCUGGGCGACAGGGCGAAACUCCAUCUAAAACAACAACAACAACAACAACAAAGAUUAAAGAACUGUGCUGAAGCUGAAAAAGCUGCUAGAAUUCUAGAAUUACCCCCAGUACCCCUUAGCCCAAGGCAUGAAACAUCAUUUUCUUUGAAUGUCCUGAGAUACAGAACCUACACUUCUUACAAUGUACAUCUAUAUCCUAGCUGGCACAAAUAUGUCUCUGAAUUAUUCAAGAAGCUUAGCUUAACCAGGACAUAGUCCCAGGCUUUUCUUAUUAUACCAAACAAGCUUAUUUCAGAACCAAUAGAAGCCAUAUUUGAAAGACAAGUUAUUGGCAUCCACAUCUCUGCAAUGAGAUUGUAAACCAAACUGUGUUGAUCUGGUGGAACUAUCUGUUUGCUACUAAAAUCUGUCUCCUACAUACCUACUUUUCAGUUUCUUUGUUUUUAACUUAGUCACAAAAAAAGAAUAAUUACAACAUUUUUCAUAGUUAAUUAUAGUCUGAUUUUGCUCAAGGAGGAAAUAUCUUAAAAUUUAUACCAAAUUAUCUCAAUAAUGGAUGAGCUCCCACAAUUCAUCUGCCCUCUGUAUGUUCUCCGAUUUGCAGAGCUUUUUAGAACCAACCCCUACUCUUUAAUGGGCCAGACAUGUGCUUUUAGUUGUACUAACCCAGACACACGUCAUAUAUUAAUGGCUUCUGGAAUCACCCCAGAAAUCAAAGGUGUAGGUAUGAGAUUGAGUGCACAGUGAUUUUCAAAACAUGUUUUAUUGCUUGAUGCUUUUUUUUUUAAAAAGGAAAAUGUUCAGAUAGAUUUUAACUCCUUAGCUAUAUUAAAAUAGCAUAUUUGCUUCACAGUUUAAAAGUUUCUCUUAGUACAAAAAUGAAAUCAUAGCUUCUUUUUUUAUUCUUCAGUAAAUUCUAAAUUUUAAAUUACUGCUAAAUUAAAUGGUUUGUGUCAGAUGUUAACAAUAUGCGGCUUUAGAUUAAAACAAGCUCCAUGUAAUCUUACUGAGCCAGUAGGUCAUAGAAAUAAGAGAAAAUGUGCUUGAAUCACAGGAGAGAAGGGAUGUUGGAUAGAUCUGUGAAAUCUUUAUGUUGUAGUAUCAGCUGAUUGAUAGCAGUGAUUCUCAGAAGGGUUCCAAUAUUAUGCCUUUCAAAAGCUGGAGAUUAGUGCAACCAUGGUGAACACAGUGACAUUCUGGCAAAGAAAAAAGGGUCAGGGCUGGCAAAAUGUGGCAGGUGUCAAAAUAAAAGGUUAGGCUCUAUGCCUGGGGACCCAUCUGUCAGAUAAAAGUAUGACAAGGCAAUUAAUGUGUUUAUUUAUGUUGCUUAUGACAAACCAUGCAUUCCCUAAAAAUGAUCAAUUUAAACAUUAUCAACUUUUUUCUGGAAAUUAAAAUUAAUAUAAAAAUAAAAUGCUUAAAAUAAAAAGCAUGGUGUAAUACUGAAAUGGCUUGUUUAUAUAACCAAAUAAAGUUAACUUUGGGGAAUUAUAGUAGUCUUCACUGAAGGAUUAGAACUAUUAAAUAUAAUAUCUUGACAAUAUAGAGGCUAUAUUAAGGAUCCACAAAACUGAUGUUUAUGUUGCAAGAUAAUCUUGGUAGCAUUUCUCAUAAGUUCAGCAUGUUUUAUAUUCAUUGAGCUAAAUUUGAUAAUUUCAUAAUAAAAUGAAGCCAAGAAAAUUAUGAAGAAAUAGAAUUCAGAUAUCCAAGCUAUGCGUCUUGCAUUUUCUUUAAAUGUUUUGUUCACAACCUUGUCAUUAUUAGAGCUUUCAUUUUCACUUUGUGACUAAUCCUGACUUCUCUUUAAUUUAUUUAUUAUUUAUUUAGCUUUCUCACUACUUCUGUUUUACCAUCUGUUUAAACUAGAAUAUGUUUAGAUUUAAUAUUCAUCAGUGAUACAUUUUCCUACAGAUAAAAUAAAUUACUACAAGCUCCUACAGGUCAAUAAAAUCUAACCCAGAAUUUUGAGAGAAACAGAAUUUACUACAGUCUAAAGUUUUAUGCAAAAACUGAUCAUCCCCAUUCUUUCCUUGAAUAAAGAAAAGAAGCUGUCAAUUACCAUGUAUUAAUAAGUGAGGCUCACACCUUAUAGUGACAACAAAAUUAGAAGAGAAAUAAUAUGUAUGUCUAGUGUAAUGUGAUAUGCAGAAGAAAAAUUUAAAUUCUUUAAUUGUAAAGGAAAAAAGCCAAUAUGAUAAUGUUAUUUCCAAGGUGCACUUUCUGUCUGCUGAGCAAUGAAAUUAACAAGUAAAGCCAUUGGAAUAGUCAAUAAAAUCAUUUGGCUUUGGAAAGAACAGAGGUAUUUUGUUCAAUAGUUUUGUUUUCUUUAGGCUGAGACAACAAUUAUGCCAUCAUCACCACUUUCCAUCUUUUAGAAGGAUAUUGGUUAAAUUUUGAGUUAAUGAUUUUUUUCUCCCCAAGAUUCCUUUCUAGCCCCUAACAUUACUAUAGUCUUAAACUAUCUUCUGUUUGCCAUACAAAAUGGCUUCUCAUAGAACAACACCAAUGUCAGGGUAGGAGUUGAGGAAGAAAAAGUAAAUAAAAAUACACAAAAUCCAAACUUUGUUAUAUGUUCCAUUCAGUGGCCUUAUACAUGAUUUACGAAUUUUGUUUGAAGUUUAAUUAUAAUUAACCACUAUUUAAUUCGAAUUCACUCCUGGCUGUAUUUCCUGAUUCAGAGUUCCAUAUUGCUUCUAUUGCUGGUUUUGAUUUAUUUGAACCUCAGUCUUUUAAAUUGUCUCUGUUUCCUACCCAUUUUUUUAUUUGCCUAGAGGUACUUGAAAAUGCAUUCAGAAAAAAAAAAUUCUUACUCACCAUUUUGUACAACUCUUCAAAACUCUAGGAUAUGCUACAUAAUGUACAUAAUAAAAGUAGUAAUUUCAACAGAAAAUCAAGAUGCCACUCGAUUUUGCCAUGGAUUUAUAAAAAUGACACAUCAGACAACAGAAGCAUAUGAGAAAAAUUUGCUGGGUAUCUACUCACUUCAAUUCAAACAUUUGAAGAAAUUAUGAAAAUUCCGAUGAGUUUUUAAAGUUUGUGCUUGCUGUGGUGUAGUGUAGCCAUGCAUUGAUCUAUCAUCACAGCCAAAAGUGGAAACAAUUCAAAUGUCCAACAACUGAUGAAAAGAUGAAGUGUGGUAUAUCCAUAUAAUGGAAUAAUAUGGAGACAUAAAGUGGAAUGAUUGACACAUGUUUACAACAUGGAUGAACCUUGACAACGCUGUGUUAAGUUAAAGAAGCCAGACACAAAAGGAUUGUCAACACUGUGGCAAUUGAAAAUAACAGGAAUAACUGUUUUAUGACAAAUGGACCUGAACCCUAUGAAAUGAAUUUGCGAGCACUGGCACAGUUAACAUAUGCUACAAACAACCAUCUUCAGACAGUGUAGCCAACCAACUGUGCCAGACUUAAACUGAUGACCCUGAGGUGAAUCGUUGUAUUGCCACAACAUUUCUGAUCCUCAAGGCUCUCCAUGCUCCUAAACUCUUUUCUUUAAUAUUCUACAGUGUGUUUAUUUUCACGGUUAUAAAGUCAUACUCAGAUUUGCAAUGAUAUUUACUACCAUAUUUCAGAGUGUUUUAACUGAUGUUAGUUCAAAUCAAUUCUGGAGAAACUUUCCAGCCAAGGGAAUUGCAAGCUAGCUGGUUGACAUUGGAGGUCAAAUACUCCAGGGUAUGGGUCUCAAAUCACUUAAUUCUUCACAGCAAAUUAGAAACGGGACUCCAGCUGGUGCUAAAGAAUAAGACAGACUUGCUGUAUAAGGACAAGCUGCUGCUUGGAUUUCGAGUCUUUAUAUUCCUAAAAUAAAAAAUGUGAGACCCAAUUCCCACCCCCCAAUCUCAUUCUUUCAGAGUAAAAGAUUUCUUAACAACAGCAAAAAUCUGGCCACCUGAUUUCAAUACAUAAAUCUUGCCAAGGUAUAAAAAUAAAAUAUGAUUUAAACAGCAACCUGUAAUCUCCUGUUGACGACCAGCUGUGCCUCCUAUUAGUAUUAAUGGAAGUUACACAGGCAUAAUAAGAAGGAGGAGAAAAUGCCACCUUAUGCUUUUUGCACACCUUAACAUUUUUAUAGCAAGUCUGAUUACAAGGGUUUACUUGAGCGGCAAUUAAACAAUGAUUGAUUACUCAGUACAAUUUGUAUUCCAGGCAACAUGCAAAUGGUAAUGAAAUUCUCAGAUAAGGAAUGGAAUAAAUUCUUCUCACAUCAGAGAAUCACAUCUUUUUAACAGAAAACGUUUUCUUAUAUGGAGAGAAGAACUUCAGUAUAAGUUUCUUAAAUAAUGCAUGUUUACCCAAAGACAAUAAGCCUUGAUUUGGAUUUAGAAAGGAAUGGUAAUGAUUUUUGCAAAUUGUACUUUCCACUUCACCUUUAGACUACGGCUCUCUUUCCAUGAUGACAAACUAUAUGGAUGGAAAGUAUAAUAUUCACUCACAAAUAUAUUGACUUCGACUAUAGUCACAACUAUAAACAAUAUUUUUCAUCAUAUUUUGACAUUGCAGAAAUAAUAUCUACUUUUAAAUUGAAAGUGAAGUGAAAGGUUUAUUUAUUAAGUGUCUAUCAUGUGCCAGGCACCAUUCUAGGUGUAGGCAACACAGCAGAGAACACACAAUACUCAUGGUAGAGAAGAAGAAACUGACAAUAUACAAGUAUACAGAUAUAGAUACAAAGUCAGUGUAUAUAGAAUAAAGAAAACGAUCAGGAGAAACUGAUGGGCAUUGAUGUGUAUAUGUACCUAUUCAUAUUCAGGGGAAAAUGAUGGAAAGGGAAGUCGAUGACUUUGCACUUGCUUUUUCCUACUUAAGGAAGAUCCUGAUCCAACAUCAUUGAAUAGUUGCCUGCUCUGUACCAUUUUGAUAUUCAUCCAAGUACAAAUAAUAGAAAGAGCUUAGAAUUAAUAUGCUGGAUAAAUAGUAAAGCCACAGUGGCUGACGUGGUAUAAGCUGGAGUAAAAUGGAGAUGACAUGAGAUCACAGAUACACAGAGGUAUAGUCAUUGCAGGCCAAUUUAAGUAAUGUGUGCUUUACUUUAAUUUUAAUGAGAAUCCAUUGAUAGGUUAACAGGGGAGUGUUAUGAUGUAAAUAUGUUUUUCAACCAUCAAUCUAAUUGCUGUAUGUAUGUUAUGGGGUAUAACAGAAAUGUGACCUACUUUGAAAUCUGCAUUUUUCCUGAAGAACUGGCUAAUACAUUAUCAUUUUCACUUAUUGAAAAUUUAACGUAAAAGAGAAAUUGCAGUUAAUAUCUUAUAGUCAGGUAUGUUUAAAAAUAAAAAUCAGAAAUCGCUCCUGCUUUAAGGUACUAUUAUCAUAAAAGGCAGGGAUAUGUGAAAGGAAAGAGAAGAAAAAGUUAUGAUGUCUAUAAAAACAAAAUAUUAGAAAAGACUAUUAAGGAUCACAUUGUCCAUCAGCUUGCUUUUUGCAGCUGGGAUAAAUGGCUGUUUAUGUUCUUUGUUCAGAUUUCCAGGAUAAAGACUUCAUAUCAUCCCUGGUAGUCCACGCUAAUAUUUUAUCUUUGACAUAAAGAAGUUAUUUUUUAUAUCCAAUUACAUUGUCUCAAUUUAUUAAACCUAUUUCAUGACCUGAUGUCAAAAUAGAAAACAACUGCUCACUAUUCUGAUAAAAACUAUUUUAAUACAAUAAUUUAUUCAAGCUUAGCCAGCUUUGUCUUCUGUAAGCUAAACAAUCUGAAACUCUUUUAUCAUUCCCUAUUUUUAUCACUUCAGUCAAAUUUUUCUUAUGCCCAGAAAAAUCUACUUUAAAGUAUGAAUUGCUUCUUGUAUCAAAGCACAUACAAGUUGAUUAGAAAUUUAUGUUCUAUGUUUAGCAAUUUAGCUUAGUUAAAAUGAUGAGAGGAAGAUGACAAAGUAUUUAACACAUUAUAUUUAUGUCAAAAUCUGUGAUACAACUCAUGGCGUAGGCAUGGAUUUACUAUGCGUAACAAUUACAACUAUACAUAUUUAUUUAGGAUGUGGAUGAUACAUGUAAUAUAUUUAGUCAUACAUAAUAGGCAUAUACAUAUGUUUGUUUCUUACUGUAACAAGGAAAAACCAUGAAAUAGAUAUUAUCAUUCUUUAAUCAGGAUUCUCAUAGGUCACAGAUUAGACUAGAAUAGAACAGCAAAAUAGAAAAAUACUGUAAGGGAACAUAUUACUCUAUUUCAAGGCAGACAUCUAAAAUAGAAGGUAUUGAAUGAAGGAGUCCUGGGCAAGAAUCCAAGAUCUGCCACCCAUUAGUCUUGUGAAGAUACAGCAUUAACAUUGUGAAGCCCCGAUUUUCUUAAUUAUAUGAUAAUUAAUAUACAAAGUCUAAUAAAUUGCUUAGCAAAAUAGGAACUCUAAAUGUUAGUUCCAUGAAUAAAACCAAAAUAAAAUCCAUUUGGACGUUUAUAAAACCAAAAAAUGCUCUUUAUAAAGUAUACUGCACUUAAAAUAAAUAAAUAAAAUUCACGAUAUUGUGGUGGUGUUUCAAUAACUCCUACCUACCACCCCCAAGAAAGAAAUUAGGUAUCUGAAACUCCAAUACAAUACAUAAGUGUCAGUUUCUACAUUUUUAAUUUCAGAUUAUUGUGGUAAUUAAAUAAAAGAUCAUGUGUAAUGUCCUGGGCAUACAGUAGAUGAUCAAUAAAGUCAGCUAUUUUUAUUAGCUCUAAGUAAAAUUAAUGAUUAAGCAUGCAUGGUUCAACAGAGGAUGCAACACAGCAAUCAAUGGUAGUUAAAGCUAGUACAGAUGGGAAGGUGGCUCUGUCCAUAUACUCUAGUCAUUCAUUAUCCAGGAACAACAAGUGUGGGCCAGGAAAAUCUUUCCCUAGAACAAUAGUGGAUGCCAAGAUCCUAACCACUCAAUACAAUCUCUCAGAAAGAAACAUUUGGUGGCCUUUAAAUAGAAAGUAUCAUGCCAAAAGAAUGUUUUUGGUUCUACACUUUUUAAUCUCCAAAUUGAAAAUAGUUAAGUUGAAAAAUGUUUCUCAAUGGAAAGAUGUAUUAUAUUCUUCAGGGGGUCAAAGUCAAUCUUGAAAUAUGUUAAUGCUGUUACAGCCUAAGGUGCUGCUGGUUUGGAAGACGGGCAAAAAAAAAAAAUGUAUAAAGCCUUUAAGAAACAAACGUGUGUGUGACACAGAUGGCUGGAAUAAAUUAUGGGACUCAAAAAGCGGUUCAAUUUGCUUAGUUUUAAAAUCCAUUUGGACAUUUAUCAAAGUUCACAUUGUGAAAUGUAUUUGUGCUACUUGGAAGAGUGAUAGUAAUCAGCACCCGCAACACCAACCCCCAGAAAAGAAAAAUAAAUAAAAAAAGGAAAAAUCUAUAAGCUCUUUUCAUUGAAGCCUAAAACAAGAUAGUUGAAUUAAUGAAUCUAGUGAUGACUCAUUUUAAGCAACAAUUGGAAAAAGUAUGAUGGAUGAUUUAAAAUAUACAUACAGACAUACAUGUAUAUAUCUAUAUAUACACAACACAUACGAUGGCAUAAACACGUAAUAUAUCGGUUCUUCUAAAAGAUUGUCAAAAUACUUUCAGAAUGGUUAUUCUGUUUAAGAUACAAAGUACCAAAUAAUCUUUCCCUUAAAUUCUGCAAAUAAGAUGUGAAUAUUCUUUAAAAUUUAAUAAAAUUUUUAAUAAAUGGAGAAGAAACUGCUCAGAAUAUUUGAAACAACAAAACAAAUUAAACUAUUUGAACAUGUUGAAGGAAAGAUACAAGGAAAUGGGAAAUAUUUUCAAAUUUAUUGGAAAUACCAAGGUCCUUUGCACAAGUGACUGUAUUUAUCAAAUAUUGUCAAGUGAGUUGUUAAGACAAGAAGAAUGAGAAAUGUGUUUCAGAGCAAGCUGUUAGCUUAGAGUUUCUCUGAUUGACAUACAUGAUAAAUUUCAAUUUUUGAAUACCUAAAGAUGCACCGAGGUGGGUGCUUUUGGGAAAGUACACAAACAUGUUGAUUUUUAUUCCAUUUGCUUGUUCAAUCAACAUAUAUUUAGAGCACAUCUACUUAAAUCCAGACACUGUCUAAACUGAGUGAUUCAAAGAUUAGUAAGAUGUAGUCUUUGCCCUUGAACAGUUCUGUCUGGUGGAUGAGACAGACACAUAAAUGUAGAAUAUUAAAUGCUAAUACACAAGCAUGAAAAGAGACUAUAACCUACAAUCUGUUUCAUGAGUUUUUUCAAAAACAUUUAUUGAUCAUCUACAAUAUGCUAGGCACUGGUUCAGACACUGAUGAUACAGCAGUGAACAAAACAGCCUCAGGGAACUUACAUUCUAUUAGGAGAAGGCAGGCAAUGAGAGCACACAUCACUAAAACAAAUAGAAUGUCAUUUGUAUUCUAUUGCUAGGGAGAAAAAUAAAAUAGGAAAAGGGGGGUAGUGAAUGUGAGAAAUGUGAGCUGCAAUUUUAAAUAUGGUAUUCGAGAAGACCUUACUGAGAAGGUGGUCAUUAUGCAAGUGCUUGAAGCUGAUGAAGGGCUAUCUGUUGAAAUACCUAGUAUGGAAUAUCAAUGCAGACAGAGGGAAGAGCAAAUGGAAAAAUCUCUGUGGGUGGAGUUGGAGUAAACAAGAAUAGCAGGAAUGAGAAGGAGAGAAGAAACAAAAAGCUAGAUAUAUACAUACAUGUCUUGCGGGCCAUUGUACAAUUUUUCUACUGAGUGAAAUGGGAAGACAUGAUGGGUUUGGAGUGAGAGACAGACAGGAUUGCUGUUUCAUAGAUUAAAUAAAUCAAAACAUUCAAACAACUAUCUUAUAAUACGACAUUCUCCACAUAUUUAGAUUAUUUUGCCUAGUUAAAGCUUAAGGAGUUUGCGCUACUUGCCAAUUUCUAUAACUCUUAAAAAUAAUUUGCUCCAGACUGAUGAUAAUUAUAUUGCUAAUAACGGACUAUAGAUUAUAGACAAAUUUGGUAUUCAGCUUUUCAUAUAAAAUACUUCAUAUAAAAAAAUUACAGAAUACCUAAUAUGUAUCAAGGGUGGGAGUAAUGAGGUUUUUACCCUGCAUGCACAAACAUACACAUUUAUAAAAUGUUUGUGUAUUGGUCUAGCUGCUCAGAGUGCAAUGGAGCUUGUAAAAUAACUUUUACUUUUUUGUAUAAUUAACUAAUAUGUGUUUGUUACUUGUCCAUGAAUAUUUAGAUCUUAUAUCAUGUUAUUUGAUUUAUUGAUAUAUAUAUAUCAUAUAUAUCUUUAUAUAUAUAUUUAUAUAUAUAAUUACCCAUGUUUUUUUCUGUUAAUAUUCUUCUACAACAUCAUUUCUAAUGCCUGCAUAAAGUUGAAUUAUGAAUUCACCAGAUUAAUGUCAGUUAUUUAUGUAUUUUUUAUUGAGAUGGAGUCUCACUCUGUUGCCAAGCUGGAGUGCAGUGGCGCAAUCUCGGCUCACUGUAACCUCCGCCUCCGGGGUUCAAGCAAUUCUCCUGCCUCAGCCUCCCAAGUAGCUGAGACUACAGGCACGCAGCACCACGCCCAGCUAAUUUUUGUAUUUUUAGUAGAGACAGGGUUUUACCAUGUUGGCCAGGAUGGUCUCGAUCUCUUGACCUCAUGAUCUGCCUGCCUUGGCCUCCCAAAGUGUGGGAAUUACAGGUAUGAGCCACCAUGCCCGGCCAAUGUCAGUUAUUAAUAAUCAGUUAUCAGUCAGUCAUCUGUUAUAGGGCAUAUAUGUUGUUUUAUUUUUGCAUGAACAACUUCAGAAUGAACAUAUUUUUGGAUACAUCUUGCAAAAAGAAUAUUGUUUUCUUAAAAAAAUCAGAAAUAAAGUUGAUGACUCAGAGAAUGCACAUAUUUACCGUUUGGCUAUUGCUAUAGUUUGAAUGUUUGUGUCCUCCCAAAAUUUACAUGUUAAAAGCUAAUCACCAAUGUGAGGAUAUUAUGAGGUGGACCCUUUGAGGGGUGAUUAGAUCAUGAGGGCAGAACUUUCAUAAAUGGGAUUAGUGCCCUUAUUAAAGCAACCUGGAGAGCUGCAUUGUCCCUUCUGCCAUCUGAGGACACAGCGAGAAGGCAUCAUCCAUGAACCGGAGGGUGGGUGCUCACCAGACACCAAAUUUGCCAAUGUUUUAAUCUUGGACUUCCCAACCUCCAGAAUUGGGAGCAGUAAAUGUCUGUUUAUAAGCUAACCACUUCAUGGUAUUUUGUUAUGGCAGCCAAAUAGACUAAGAAAGCUAUGUAUUGCUCAACUGCCCUGCCUAUAUACUAUACUAAGUUUUUACUCAUUAUGGAAUCUUAUGAACCUGUUAAUUUUAUUACACCCUCAUUUCCUUAAAAAAUCUUUGCCAGUUUGAUGUGUGAAAAACUCUAUGUCAUUAUAAUUUUUUGACAUUGCUUUGAUUACUGAUUGGGUUGACUCAAUUUUCACAUUUUCAUUAACUGCUUGUAUUCCCUUUUUUGUGAGUUGGCCAUUGAUGCCCUUUAUCUAUUUGUAUAUCACUGGAAAUGUUUUCCUCUUAGGCUUUCUAUACUCUCUGCUAUGUUGAAAAAGAGUAAUGCUAAACAAUGAUCUGCAAUGAAGUUUUAAGAUAAAAAUAUGAUAGUUAUUCAUAAUAUUUAUUUACCUGCUAUGUACUAGGUACUAUGUUAGGCAUGGAGGAUUAAAAGAUAAGACCCAUUAAAAAUUAUCAAGGAUCUUACAGUGUAGGGGUAGUGUAGGGGUAGGGGUAGUGGAAAUCAUGAAAACAAACUGCAGAACAAGAACAGCACAUCGUUCAUUAUUCAGAUGAUUAAAAAUUGAUGAUUAUAAUUUUAUGUAGGAAAACAGAAUGAGAGCCAUUGACUGAGAGACGGAAAUCCUUCUGGAGUGUAGGUUUUUCUUUCUGGCCUCUGAUUAAAAACAGAGAUCUGCCUUUUAAGUGCCACAACAUGCUAAAUUGCAACGGUAUUAAUAUAUGGUAGAAAUGUACUAUUUUGGUUUCUAAUGGCACUUAUGAUUACCACCCAGGCUAGCAUGCACAGGAAAUGACUGAGCCCAUCUCCAGAAAUCACUUGCCUUGGUUGAUUUUCACACAUUCAACCAAGUGAGUAUAUGAAUAUGCAAUUACACAUACAUCGCAAUCAGAGUAAUACUUCAAAAUACACACUUGAUCAUACCAUUCUUCUACUUUAAAAAACUUUCAUGGCUUCCCAUUUCUUAUAGAAUAAAGUUCAAAACCCUAAACAAAGACUAAAUAAAACAUGGCAUGCUUACCUUGCAGCUUCACCCUGGGUCACUCUCCCACUAGUUGCUUAAACUCCAGCCAUCAGGGCCUUCUUUCCCUGUUGGAUAUCUCUGACCCUGGAGCUUUUACACUUUGCUCUCCCUUCCCGGAAGUCUUUUAAUAACCUCCUUUUGCCUUUUUAACUCUUACGUUGUCCUUUAGGUCUCAGCAGUAAGGCCAUUACCUCAAGGACUCCAUUGAUUUCUCAGGGCCCUCUACUAUAACAGCCUUUUGUUUUUCAUUGAUGUUGCCAUUUGCAGUAAAUAUAUUUGUGUGUGAUUAUUUUGCAAAUGUCCAUCUCCCUAACUAAUCUGCAAAGCGCAGGAGAAUAAGAGUUCACUUUUAUUUUGCUCAUCACGGUACCUCUAGUGUUUUCCACUGAACCUAGCAUGUGUUCGGCACAUAAUUAUCAGUGAUAAGAAUGAAUGAACAAAUACAGAAACAUCUCAGAACAAUGAAAUAAAUGAUGAGAUUUAAAAAUAUGAGUUAAUUUUUAUGUCCAGGCAUGAUGAUAAUUAAGCAUGUACAUUUUACAUGCAGUAUAGACUAUUUGUUAAUUAAUAUACAGAGGUAACAAUGCAGCUUAGGUUCACUAGGAAGCAGACUUUGCAAUAGAAAUGUGUGUGCAGGAAGUAUAUUCAUUAUUCAGUGCUGUCUGGAUGAGGCCCAGUGAGAGCAAGGAAAUGAAGCAGGAUGGGCAAAGGGAGAAGCUGAACUCUACAGACGUCCCAACAUAUGUCCCAGCUAAUCCCUUGAGGGACCUCUGAAGGUGGGAUGGCCCCUAAAAGGUGUCUUGAAUUGAGGCAAGGGCCCAGCCUUUAAAUUCCCACAUCAACUGUCAUUGGAUAUCUGCUACCCCAGGAAAGGGCUUGAACUUCCAUGAGAUGGCUCUCUUAGCCAGGGGCAAUUUCCAGAGAGGAACUCAGCAGACAGCUGUCAACCACUAACACUCCCAGGAGCUGAGAGAAUGAGUGCCUCAGUUUUGAAUGGGUUGGGGGAUGGGUGGUGAUCUGUGAAGCACAUCAUAACAUCUGCUACAGAUAACCAAAAGGGAAAAUACAUACUUUAAGGCAAGGAUAUGAAGAACUUGCUCAAAUGUAAAUGAACUAGAAAUUAUAAAACAAUAAAAUUCCAGCAAUAAAACAAGAAACCACUUUAAAUGCCAGUUCUUGGAAUUAUGACAAUAUUUGAUGGUGAGAGGAAACCAACAAGGCCAAGGAAAAGACCCGUAAGUAGUAAGGCAAAUUAUUUCAGGGGACAUUCAUUCUAAAGGAUGUUUUCCCCCCACUUUAAGUUAGAUAAGUCUAUAAACUUUCCCCUUACACUGCAUUUUACUCAAAAUCUUUCAUAGGCAAUCAUGCAUUAAUGACAUUUUUCUAGAACGUGGGAACGUGGGCAUUGAAAGAUUAUAUCUUUAAAUUUGUAAUAUUUAAUUUAUAUGACACUGUUCAAUUUACAAAAUACUAUUGCAUACAUUUUGACAUCUGACUCUCAUAGUAAUCCAUUCAGUUAAACCACUCAUUUAAAAUCACUAAGCGGCAAUUUUUGUUUUUCAGUUAGUGGCUAAAGGUUUGUGGUAACAGAGACAAUGUCUCUAUUGUCCACUGAGAUGUCA